GCGUAAAAUCGUAGUUUUUCCAUACAAUUUUCACUAAUUAUUAUAAAAUUUGUGUAUUUUUAUGCAUAGAGUGAAUCUAUGUUUAUUAUUUUUAUUAUUUUAAUGAAUUAAAGUGGAAAUCCACUUUAUUUAAAUAAUAAAAACACUGAAAAUUAAAAAUUGUAUAUGCAUCGGUAAUAAUGCAUACAAGUAGUUGAAGUACCGAGAUAACCCAACCAACCAUUUAUACAAGACUCCCUAAAUAAUAAAAUUGGGUUUUCAUCGCGCGAUCUUUUUUUUUUUCAAAUUUUGAAUAUAUUUUCAGCAUAAUAUACUACAUUGAAACAAGCGCCGCAGGCGAAAAUUUGGAAUAAAAAAUCGCGCGAUUUUUUAUUCCAAAUUUUCAUUAUAUUUUCAGUAUAUUACAUCGAAACAAGCGCCGCAGGCGAAAAUUUGGAAUAAAAAAUCGCGCGAUUUUUUAUUCCAAAUUUUCGUUAUAUUUUCAGUAUAAUAUAUUACAUUGAAACAACCGCCGCAGUAUAUAAGGCCUACCAUUUUGAUUCGUUGGGUUAUUACUAUCUUCCUUUUGUGCUUAUUUUCUUCGUCGUUUGACAGUUCAUAUUCAGUAAUUUUGCUUACAUUUCAAGGAACAGUAUAAGACGUAAUUGAAAGCUGUUUUAUUUAUUAAAUUGUACAUAAAAUUGCAACUUAAAAUUCAUAAUUUAUCAUUAAUUCAAUUAAAUAUAUUUCAAAGAAUGUGUGUGUGUUAAAUUGGUUAAAUUUUUCGCAAGCAGUGCAACAAAAACUUCAAAAGAAGAGAGCCAUUUUUUGAGCAAAUGUGAAAAUGUGCGUUUUUUGCUUACUGAUAUCUGAAAAACAAAUUAACAUUUAACAAUAAAAUUACAUUUAAACAAAAGUUUAAUUCAUUGGCUAUCCGUGCUAUAUAAAUUUAAAAAAAUCCGUGCACGCAUUUACGAGGGAUAAGCAGUGAAAAUGAUAUACUAAACUAAACCCAACCCUAUAUUUUGUAAUGUGAAUUCAUUAAUUAUAAAAUUUGCGAAAUUUCUGGCCUUUAUACCAAAAAUGUUCAUAUUUUUCACUAUUUUAAAUGGUUUAAGCCGCUUAGUCGAACUUAUUGCUUCACUACCGGAAAUUAACUGACUAAAUAUACUGGCUGUGUGCCAAACGGUAGAAAAAUAAAAAAAUCUGACAGAUAAAACUGAAAUUUCAUUCUUGAACGCACCAGAUUUAUGAGCAACGUGAGCCAAUGCAACUUCCUUUACAGAAUGACUUGGAUCUUCGGUACGCAUUGCACGUGAAGUGUUGCCAACGUCGUCGAAAAAUUUAGUGAUCAAUAAGUAAAAGGUUUGGAAAGUAAAAAUAAAAAAAAAUCAAUAAAAUUUAUCUUGAGAAAAAUGCAAAAAUUUUGUUCUAACUUGCAAGUGGGUAGAACCUAUUAAGUUUAAUUUAGUUUUGUUAUCUGGAACUGCAUUCGAUUGUGUGUCAUUUUUCUAGGCAAAACAACACUGGAAACACACGAAGUCACACCCUUACGAAAGGCAACUGAUAGCACCAUAUAGUCAGCAAAUAUUGAUAGUACGUUUGUGGUUGGCAGUGUUGGGUGGGAUAGAAUCCAACUUUACAGUGCUCUAUGAAUCACACGGGAUGUUAUUGUAACGGGGGAAAACCAUCGUAACUUAAGAGGCUAAUCAGUGAUUCGUGGCAGGGACUCCAUUUCCUUUCAUAACUGCGCUUGAAAAUGAUUGUAUUUAUAUUAUUCUAAGCGUGAAUAUACUUUCUCAUGCAUUCCCUUGCACAUUGAGUAUAUUCUCAGUGGCUGGCACAACGCUUUACGAAUCGCGCCCACACAAAAGAACUUUAAUCUAAUCAAUUUGCUUAGCACAUAUACACAUGCAAAUACACACAAGCAUAAUGCAUAUAGAUACAUUAGAGAGCACACUGCUGUAUGGCGCCGUAAACUUUAUACCCACGGUGGAAUGAAGAGCAGCGGAACGAUUGAGAACAACUCAACCCAAGCCAAUCUUCGUUCUAAACUGAUGAUGCUAUGGCGAGCUUAUAGUCAAUAUUUACAUACAUGCAUACAUACAUACAUGUGGUUGAGAUGUGUAUGUUCCAGUGUGUGGGUUUUCUUUGAAGAACGCGAUGCGUCAGAAGCUUGUUGUUUGGAUGCUGGGAAGACAGAUAAAAAAUGUCGCAUAAAUAAAUAAAUAAUUGACUUGCUAUUGUGCACAACAACAGUAACAAUAACAGCAAAAUUUGUUGUUCUGAAAAUGCAAUCGUUCUUGUUGUUGCCUUAUACGGAAAUAGCUCAAUGAAAGUUGUCAGCUUGAAAUUAAAUAAUAAUUACAGUUUGUGCGCAUGUGUGUGUGAGUGUGUUUGGAGUCGCAAAGGGGCGUCACAACUGCACUGUGUGGGCCGCAGGUAGUGUAGGUAGCUUCUAAUGCUUAAAUGUGAGCGCAUUUGGCGGCUUCAAGUUCGUUUGUGAAGCUGAAAACUCAAUAUAUGAAGGGUGAUCCAUUUCGAGGUUCCCCACAUUUUUAAAGAAGAAACGCAGAAACUUCAAAUUUAAUUCAGAAUGUUUUUUUAUCAUUCGAAAGAACGUCCGUUGGCAUUUAUUUUUUGAAGAUAUUCUCUCUUAAAUGGUCGUGGUUACCACUCAGACGGUUCAUCCGUUGAGUCCAAUUUUCGAUGACUUCCUCGAGCAUUUCGACCGGCAACUGGCGAAUGGCACGUGUAAGGUUUUGCUCCAAGGCUUGUAUUGAAGCGUGAUUAUCCGCGUAGACUUUAGACUUUACAUAUCCCCACAGGAAAACAGGUCUAACAGUGUGAUAUUUCAUGAUCUUGGUGGCUAAUCGACCGGCCCAAAACGCGAAAUUAGCUGCCCACCGAAGUGUUCUCUCAAAAAAUUCAUUGAUUGAUGCGAUGUGUGGCAAGUGGCGUCAUCUUGUUGAAACCAAAUGUCGCCAAGAUCUCGAGCUUUAAUUUCAGGCAUCAAAUAGUCGGUUAUCAUGGCGCGAUAACGGUCGCUAUUCACGGUUACGAACUCACCGGCCUAAUUUUUGAAGAAAUAUGUUUCCACCGGCCUACAAGCCAAACCAAACCGUUUUUCUAACAGCUCAUAGAGCGAAGCGAUCUCGCUUGGGAAGGUCGAGCGGCUUCAGUUCUUGCACAAGCUGUAUUUAAUAAGGAGGUAUAUCUUUAGCGGCCAAUACAAAUCGUAUAUAUCGUCUGCAAAAAAUACGAUAUCUAUGAAGACUGCCCCUCCGAGAACAAAAAAAGACAUGCUAUAACAAUAACAGUACGAUAUCCAACGACUGUUAUACUUUAAGGAUUUGGCAAGUUUUAUUUUAUACUAAAUCAAAUAAUAUACAUAUUUAUAUAUAAAUUUAUUUCUAAAUUUUUCUUAGAAAUCCAAAAAUGCAUUUGCUGCGGCAGCGCUGUCUACCAAAUUGCGUGUAUUAAAUCGAUAUGUUGUUGGCCAAGACACACAUGGCUAAAAUGUGUGCAAACAUUUUAGGCAAGCUGAACUGCCGAUUACGGCAUACAGCAACAACAACGAUUACUGUGAUGAAUCACUGGCGAGAAUUUGCGCUUUCGGCUUCACUGACGUCCAAGUAAACAACGAUCAGCGUUAAAAAUAAACUUUAAAUUUAAUGCAAAUUGCUUAUUGUAUAAGUUUGCCGAAUACGUUUGCACUUAUCAUACACAUACACAUAUGUAUGUAUACAGCGUAUGCAAUUUGCACUGUUAACAGUGGGAUCGAACUGUAGAGAACAGAAUAUGCGCUGCAAGUUCGCUUUUUGGCUAAGGACAAUGGACCCAUAAAAUGUUAAAACUGACAGUAAACUCAAUUAUAUCCAAGCAAAUGUGGAACCAAACCACUUUUUCUGCAACUUCAACUGAUGUUUAAAUAUUUUAUGUUUGAACCAUUACAACAACGACACUAAAUUUUGUUUUUGUGUGAGGAAACGUUUUCUGAAAUCAUAAAUUUCUUGGUUAAGUUGGAAUUUUGACGCCUGUUGUCACGAAUAAUAUGGCAAUGCUUCGAAAUGCAUCAACUAGAGUUAUAAUUUCAUUCAUUUCCAGGAAGAAUUCAUUAACAACGAAAUUUAUAUUUAAUUUUUAUAUGAAACCAAAAUCUGUUAGCUCUAAAUUAUAGUAUACACAUUUUGUCGAGUGCGUCUCUCGGCUGGUUUUGGAUAAAAAUCCAUAAUUUCGAAAAAUAUAAAUUAAAAAGAAGCAAUUUUUAAUACUUUGGGACUAAAAAAAAUUAAAAUAUGUGCAAAACUAGUAGCGAAGUUCUUUAUAAGGCAAUAUUUUAUAUCUAUUAAGAUUUAUUUAUUAAGAACAAAUUUUUUUUAUGAAAAUACAUGUACAUAUGUAUUACUAAUACCUCAAAAUACCAAGGGGCACAUCUACAAGACUGAUUUACGGAAAUUACAAACAAAAAAUACAAUAUGAAUGAAAUGUUUUAAAAUUUUGAGCAUAAUUUAUACAUAAUUAGUGAAUAUAUGUAUAAAAAAUACAUAAAACUUGAAAUCAUUAAGGGGUUAUAUACAGUUAGAAGGCAGAAAAAAGCGAAUAUUCCAGAUUUUUUUAGAAAACUUUUAAAUUUGUUGAUUCAAAAAUUUUUACACUUGUAUCUUUUAACUGUACAUUAGGACUCAAAAUAAGUAAAAAUAUUUAUAUUUGACAAAAUGGAGAUUUCUAAAAAAAAGAUUUUUGACCAAAAUUUCGUUGUUAAAUUGUUCAUAAAAAAAUAUUUAUCGGUAAGACUAAUAAGUUUAGCCGUUUUCAAGUAGUGUUGGUCACCGAUUUUGCUUCGGCCUUGUACUUAAAAGCACUCUGAAACGCUUUUUCUAAUUUGCGUGUGACUUCGAAAAUAUUCACCGGAACAAUAUGAAAAUUUCUGUGUGUAUUCCUAAAUAUAUGUACAUUAAGAAAAUUAAAUAAAAAAAAUUAAAAUUUUUGAAAAUUCUAUCUGUAUAUAACUCCUUAAAAAAAUUAUUAAACUAUAAAGUAUCACCUUUUAAAAUUAACAAAAUGGCAGACUUAAAAAAAAUAACAACAAAACAUCGUUAAAAAUAUAUGAUUUUUAGCCCUUUACAUUUUUUAUAAACGAAAAUUUGAAGUGUCAUUGUGCAGGCAAACAACUCAAAAUAAGGACAUAAAAACAAAAACAAAUGUGAAGUUUAGCUUUUAACGCAAUUACAAUUGAGAUAUCGAUUGCUAAAUGUGUAUAUACAAGUAAAAAGAUAAUAGAAUCCAAAUGCACGGCCCAAUGGCUUAAUAACGAUUUUAACAAGAAUUUCGUUUUUGAACCUUAAUAUAUGUACAUAAGAUUGUGGAUUUUUUUCGAAUGCUUUGGAAUUAUGGCUUUCUGAAAACUCCAAUAACGUGAAUAGUAGAAAUUAGUCUGAAUAUGUGAAAUUGAUCGGACGAUCUUCAGACCUUCGAGUUACAAUUGCAGCCAUUUUGAAAAAUUUAGUUU